rnacentral:rRNA from 1 species
ACGGAAGGCAGCAGUGAGGAAUAUUGGUCAAUGGGCGGAAGCCUGAACCAGCCAAGUCGCGUGUGGGAGGAAGGUCCUACGGAUUGUAAACCUCUUUAGCCGGGGAGCAAUAAGCGCUAUGUAUAGCGUGAGGAGAGUACCCGGAGAAUAAGGAUCGGCUAACUCCGUGCCAGCAGCCGCGGUAAUACGGAGGAACCGAGCGUUAUCCGGAUUUAUUGGGUUUAAAGGGUGCGCAGGCGGUCGAUUCAGUCAGUGGUCAAGUCACGGUGCUCAACGCCGUUCCGCCAUUGAUACUGGUUGACUUGAUUCCGGUCGAGGCAGGCGGACUUCGUAGUGUAGCGGUGAAAUGCAUAGAAAUUACGAAGCGCUCCGAUUGCGUAGGCAGCUUACCAGGCCGGCAAUGACGCUCAUGCACGAAAGUGCGGGGAUCGAACAGGAUUAGAUACCCUGGUA